GUAUUUCCUUAGGGAGCUACCAUUUGAUUUUUAUGGGGGGGGCUAGGAUGAAAUUUGAAAAAAAUAGGCAGGACAGGAGUUUUGAAAUAAAAAAAAAGGCAGGAUGAGACACUUGCAAAAAAAAAAAAGUCAGGACGACAAUUUAGGUAAAAAAAAGUCAGGAUAAAAAAAAAAAAAAGGCAGGACCGAACAGAGUGAAAAAUAAAAAGGCAGGACAGAGAUUACAGCUAAAAAAAAAAUGCAGGACAAAAUUUUUCAUCCUAGCCCCCCC
rnacentral:lncRNA from 1 species